GCACGUACAUACCGCCCGUCACUCUCCCCAAGCCCACUACACGCCCUAACUAAAUCCCCAUCUAGGCACCGAGGGGAGGCAAGUCGUAACAUGGUAAGUGUAC
rnacentral:rRNA from 1 species